rnacentral:rRNA from 1 species
AUACGGAGGGGGUUAGCGUUGUUCGGAAUUACUGGGCGUAAAGCGCACGUAGGCGGACCGGAAAGUAAGAGGUGAAAUCCCAGGGCUCAACCUUGGAACUGCCUUUUAAACUAUCGGUCUAGAGUUCGAGAGAGGUGAGUGGAAUUCCUAGUGUAGAGGUGAAAUUCGUAGAUAUUAGGAGGAACACCAGUGGCGAAGGCGGCUCACUGGCUCGAUACUGACGCUGAGGUGCGAAAGCGUGGGGAGCAAACAGGAUUAGAUACCCUAGUAGUCC